CCUACGGGGGGCAGCAGUGGGGAAUAUUGGACAAUGGGGGCAACCCUGAUCCAGCCAUGCCGCGUGUGUGAAGAAGGCCCUCGGGUUGUAAAGCACUUUCAGUGAGGAAGAACGCCUGGUGGUUAAUACCCAUCAGGAAAGACAUCACUCACAGAAGAAGCACCGGCUAACUCCGUGCCAGUAGCCGCGGUAAUACGGAGGGUGCGAGCGUUAAUCGGAAUUACUGGGCGUAAAGCGCGCGUAGGUGGCUUGAUAAGCCGGUUGUGAAAGCCCCGGGCUCAACCUGGGAACGGCAUCCGGAACUGUCAAGCUAGAGUGCAGGAGAGGAAGGUAGAAUUCCCGGUGUAGCGGUGAAAUACGUAGAGAUCGGGAGGAAUACCAGUGGCGAAGGCGGCCUUCUGGACUGACACUGACACUGAGGUGCGAAAGCGUGGGUAGCAAACAGGAUUAGAUACCCUUGUAGUC
rnacentral:rRNA from 1 species